CCUACGGGCGGCAGCAGUGAGGAAUAUUGGUCAAUGGGCGCGAGCCUGAACCAGCCAAGUAGCGUGAAGGAUGACUGUCCUACGGAUCGUAAACUUCUUUUAUAAAGGAAUAAAGUGCGGCACGUGUGCCGUUUUGUAUGUACUUUAUGAAUAAGGAUCGGCUAACUCCGUGCCAGCAGCCGCGGUAAUACGGAGGAUCCGAGCGUUAUCCGGAUUUAUUGGGUUUAAAGGGUGCGUAGAUGGGUUGUUAAGUCAGUGGUGAAAGUUUGCGGCUCAACCGUAAAAUUGCAAUUGAUACUGGCAGCCUUGAGUAUAGUUGAGGUAGGCGGAAUGCGUGGUGUAGCGGUGAAAUGCUUAGAUAUCACGAAGAACCCCGAUUGCGAAGGUAGCCUACUAAGCUGCCACUGACAUUGAUGCUCGAAAGUGUGGGUAUCAAACAGGAUUAGAUACCCUGGUAGUC
rnacentral:rRNA from 1 species